rnacentral:rRNA from 2 species
CAGCAGUAGGGAUCUUCCGCAAUGGACGAAAGUCUGACGGAGCAACGCCGCGUGAGUGAUGAAGGUUUUCGGAUCGUAAAACUCUGUUGUUAGGGAAGAACAAGUACCGUUCGAAUAGGGCGGUACCUUGACGGUACCUAACCAGAAAGCCACGGCUAACUACGUGCCAGCAGCCGCGGUAAUACGUAGGUGGCAAGCGUUGUCCGGAAUUAUUGGGCGUAAAGCGCGCGCAGGCGGUUUCUUAAGUCUGAUGUGAAAGCCCCCGGCUCAACCGGGGAGGGUCAUUGGAAACUGGGGAACUUGAGUGCAGAAGAGGAGAGUGGAAUUCCACGUGUAGCGGUGAAAUGCGUAGAGAUGUGGAGGAACACCAGUGGCGAAGGCGACUCUCUGGUCUGUAACUGACGCUGAGGCGCGAAAGCGUGGGGAGCGAACAGGAUUAGAUACCCUGGUAGUCCACGCCGUAAACGAUGAGUGCUAAGUGUUAGAGGGUUUCCGCCCUUUAGUGCUGCAGCAAACGCAUUAAGCACUCCGCCUGGGGAGUACGGUCGCAAGACUGAAACUCAAAGGAAUUGACGGGGCCCGCCC